CAGCCGCCGCGGUAAUACGUAGGGGGCGAGCGUUACCCGGAAUUACUGGGCGUAAAGGGGGCGUAGGCGGCCCGGCAAGUCAAGUGUGAAAUCCGGCGGCUCAACCGCUGGGCUGCGCUUGAAACUGCCGGGCUUGAGUGCAGCAGAGGGAGACGGAAUUGCCGGUGUAGGGGUGAAAUCCGUAGAUAUCGGCAAGAACGCCGGUGGGGAAGCCGGUCUCCUGGGCUGUUACUGACGCUGAGGCCCGAAAGCUGGGGGGGCGAACCGGAUUAGAUACCCGGGUAGUCCCAGCCGUAAACGAUGCUCACUAGGUGUGGGGGAGAUAAAUCCUCCGUGCUGAAGCUAACGCGCUAAGUGAGCCGCCUGGGGAGUAUGCCCGCAAGGGUGAAACUUGAAGGAAUUGGCGGG
rnacentral:rRNA from 1 species